CACUAAGUUCGGCAACAAUAUGAUGACCUCCUGGGAGCGGGGGACCAUCGGGUUGUCUAAAGAGGAGUGAACCGGCCCAGGUCGGAAACGGAGAAGGUCAAAACUUCCGUGCUGAUCAGUAGCGGGAUCGCGCCUGUGAAUCACCACUGCACUCCAGCCUGGGCUACAGAGCGAGGCUCCAUUUCAAAAAAAAAAAAAAAAAA